rnacentral:rRNA from 1 species
AUUGAACGCUGGCGGCAUGCCUUACACAUGCAAGUCGAACGGUAACAGGUCUUCGGAUGCUGACGAGUGGCGAACGGGUGAGUAAUACAUCGGAACGUGCCCGAGAGUGGGGGAUAACGAGGCGAAAGCUUUGCUAAUACCGCAUACGAUCUCAGGAUGAAAGCAGGGGACCGCAAGGCCUUGCGCUCACGGAGCGGCCGAUGGCAGAUUAGGUAGUUGGUGGGAUAAAAGCUUACCAAGCCGACGAUCUGUAGCUGGUCUGAGAGGACGACCAGCCACACUGGGGCUGAGACACGGCCCAGACUCCUACGGGAGGCAGCAGGGGGGAAUUUUGGACAAUGGGCGCAAGCCUGAUUCAGCCAUGCCGCGUGCAGGAUGAAGGCCUUCGGGUUGUAAACUGCUUUUGUACGGAACGAAAAGACUCUGGUUAAUACCUGGGGUCCAUGACGGUACCGUAAGAAUAAGCACCGGCUAACUACGUGCCAGCAGCCGCCGUAAAAC